rnacentral:rRNA from 1 species
GCGGGCUAGGGUGUAUACUCCCAACCCAUGUGAACAUACCUCAUGUUGCCUCGGCAGGUCGCGCCUGCUACCCCGCAGCGCCCUACCCUGUAGGGCGUACCCGGGAAGGCGCGGGCAACCCUGCCGGCGGCCCACGAAACUCUGUUUAGUAUUGAAUUCUGAACCUAUAACUAAAUAAGUUAAAACUUUCAACAACGGAUCUCUUGGUUCUGGCAUCGAUGAAGAACGCAGCGAAAUGCGAUAAGUAAUGUGAAUUGCAGAAUUCAGUGAAUCAUCGAAUCUUUGAACGCACAUUGCGCCCAUUAGUAUUCUAGUGGGCAUGCCUGUUCGAGCGUCAUUUCAACCCUUAAGCCCCUGUUGCUUAGCGUUGGGAGCCUACAGCACCGUAGCUCCCCAAAGUCAGUGGCGGGGUCGGUUCACACUCUAGACGUAGUAAUCUUUCACCUCGCCUGUAGUUGGACCGGUCCCCUGCCGUAAAACACCCCGAUUUCUAAAAGGUUGACCUCGGAUCAGGUAGGAAUACCCGCUGAACUUAAGCAUAUCAAUAAGCGGAGGAAAA